GAAGCCAGAACUUAUUCCGUCGCCAAAUCUCUAUCGUGCAAUACAUGUCGUCUCUGGUGUUCUAUUAUGAGUUUAUUAUGAGUAUAUUAUAUGUUAUUAUGAGUAUAUUCGAAGUGAUCCUUAUACGUUGCUACAUCGCGUGGGACCAUCCGUGCGCCGUCCUUCAUGCUCUGACCAUCAAAGACCUACGCACCGUAAUUCAGACCCUCAAUAAACCUAAGGAACCACCAUAACCUAAGGAGCCACGUUGGUAAGAGACUUCCUCCUCUUAUCUUCAUUCAUUAACGUGGAUCAUAACCAAUGGGCAUCGCAGAUCGUUACCCUCACUUUCCUGACGAAAAGUGUGAACAACGAAUCCGCGUUCUUUGUUCAAAGGGCACAACCAUACCGAGCUUUCCUCCGUAAUGACAUAAGA